GACGAACGCUGGCGGCGUGCUUAACACAUGCAAGUCGAACGGAAAGGCCCUGCUUUUGUGGGGUGCUCGAGUGGCGAACGGGUGAGUAACACGUGAGUAACCUGCCCUUGACUUUGGGAUAACUUCAGGAAACUGGGGCUAAUACCGGAUAGGAGCUCCUGCUGCAUGGUGGGGGUUGGAAAGUUUCGGCGGUUGGGGACGGACUCGCGGCUUAUCAGCUUGUUGGUGGGGUAGUGGCUUACCAAGGCUUUGACGGGUAGCCGGCCUGAGAGGGUGACCGGCCACAUUGGGACUGAGAUACGGCCCAGACUCCUACGGGAGGCAGCAGUGGGGAAUAUUGCACAAUGGGCGGAGGCCUGAUGCAGCAACGCCGCGUGCGGGAUGACGGCCUUCGGGUUGUAAACCGCUUUCGCCUGUGACGAAGCGUGAGUGACGGUAAUGGGUAAAGAAGCACCGGCUAACUACGUG
rnacentral:rRNA from 1 species